rnacentral:rRNA from 1 species
AGAGUUUGAUCAUGGCUCAGGAUGAACGCUGGCGGUCUGCUUAACACAUGCAAGUCGAACGGAGUAGAAAUACUUAGUGGCGGACGGGUGAGUAACGCGUGAGAAUCUGCCUUCAGGACGGAGACAACAGUUGGAAACGACUGCUAAGCCCCGAUGAACCGAAAGGGAAAAUAUUUAUAGCCUGAAGAUGAGCUCGCGUCCGAUUAGCUAGUUGGCGGAGUAAAAGCCCACCAAGGCGACGAUCGGUAGCUGGUCUGAGAGGACGAUCAGCCACACUGGGACUGAGACACGGCCCAGACUCCUACGGGAGGCAGCAGUGGGGAAUUUUCCGCAAUGGGCGAAAGCCUGACGGAGCAAGACCGCGUGGGGGAAGAAGGCUCUUGGGUUGUAAACCCCUUUUCUCUGGGAAGAAAGUUGUGAAAGCAACCUGACGGUACCAGAGGAAUCAGCAUCGGCUAACUCCGUGCCAGCAGCCGCGGUAAUACGGAGGAGGCAAGCGUUAUCCGGAAUGAUUGGGCGUAAAGCGUCCGCAGGUGGCAGUUCAAGUCUGCUGUCAAAGACCGGGGCUUAACUUCGGAAAGGCAGUGGAAACUGAACAGCUAGAGUAUGGUAGGGGCAGAGGGAAUUCCUGGUGUAGCGGUGAAAUGCGUAGAGAUCAGGAAGAACAUCGGUGGCGAAGGCGCUCUGCUGGACCAUAACUGACACUCAGGGACGAAAGCUAGGGGAGCGAAUGGGAUUAGAUACCCCGGUAGUCC